rnacentral:rRNA from 1 species
GACGAACGCUGGCGGCGUGCUUAACACAUGCAAGUCGAACGGAAAGGCCCUGCUUUUGUGGGGUGCUCGAGUGGCGAACGGGUGAGUAACACGUGAGUAACCUGCCCUUGACUUUGGGAUAACUUCAGGAAACUGGGGCUAAUACCGGAUAGGAGCUCCUGCUGCAUGGGGGGGGUUGGAAAGUUUCGGCGGUUGGGGAUGGACUCGCGGCUUAUCAGCUUGUUGGUGGGGUAGGGGCUUACCAAGGCUUUGACGGGUAGCCGGCCUGAGAGGGUGACCGGCCACAUUGGGACUGAGAUAGGGCCCAGAAUCCUACGGGAGGCAGCAGGGGGGAAUAUUGCACAAUGGGCGGAAGCCUGAUGCAGCAACGCCGCGUGCGGGAUGACGGCCUUCGGGUUGUAAACCGCUUUCGACUGUGACGAAGCGUGAGUGACGGUAAUGGGUAAAGAAGCACCGGCUAACUACGUG